rnacentral:rRNA from 1 species
AACGAACGCUGGCGGCAUGCUUAACACAUGCAAGUCGAACGGGAACGCCCGGGUUAUUGGCGCACGUCGGCUGAACAACGGGUGAGCUGCCCGUAGGUUCCCAGUAAUUCCCCGUAGGAUGACUUAAUACAACAGAAUCUAUUAGCGCCAAGGAUUUAUCGCCUUGGGAUGGGCCCGCGUCGGAUUAGCUAGUUGGUGGGGUAAAGGCAUACCAAGGCGAGGUUCGAUAGCUGGUCUGAGAGGAUGGUCAGCCAGACUGGGACUGAGACACGGCCCAGACUCCGACGGGAGGGAGCAGUGGGGAAUAUUGGACAAUGGGGGCAAGCCUGAUCCAGCCAUGCCGGGUGAGUGAUGAUGGCCUUAGGGUUGUAAAGCUGUUUUACACGGGAUGAUAAUGACGGUACCGGGAGAAUAAGCACCGGCUAACUACGUG